rnacentral:tRNA from 1 species
ACUAAGUUAGCAUAUUCAAUGUUAUAAAUUUAGAAUUUAAAGAAAAAUAAAAUUUACUUAGUA